rnacentral:tRNA from 1 species
UCCUCGGUAGCUCAGCUGGCAGAGCGGGUGGCUGUUAACCACUAGGUCGCAGGUUCGAGUCCUGCCCGGGGAGCCA